rnacentral:tRNA from 1 species
GCCCGGGUGGCGGAAUUGGUAGACGCUGCGGACUUAAAAUCCGUUUCCUGAUAGGGAGUGCGAGUUCAAGUCUCGCCCCGGGCACCA